ACUGAUGCAAAUAUUGUAACUCCUGCAAUGGAAGGUAUAAAUAACGUUCCAGUGAACCUCCGUCAUCCAUUGCACCCAUUGGAAAGGAAGGAGAAGAUUAAAGUGAAGAGAUGUUGUUUUGCUUAAAUACAGAGCAGGUUCUUUCAUUUGGAAGUUUGAUAAAGAGUUGGGAAUAUUUACAAAGUAAAAAGUUAAUGAUCGUUAGCUGAUUUUGGUAUUUUGUUACUUUGUCUACACUUGGAAUCUGUCUAUACUAAGAUAUGGUUUGCAGUAUGGAAUACUAUUAUCAUCAUAUACUUAUGAGUUUAGUAGAAAACCCAAUUGCACUUUACAUGCUCGAUGAAAUGCCUCAAUGAUACUUCAGCUUGAUUAAUUACAUACGUGAAAAUUUUACUAGCUUUUAUACAUAAAAAAGAAGUUAUUUUUUCAGAAAUAUGUCGUGUACUUCAAAAACAACAAAUUAGAUCAUUGUUAAAAAGAAGCUUUUGUAUUGUAGAAGACAUAUGAAGAUAUGUUUUUGAUAAUAAACUUAGUGGAAAGCUGAUAUGGCAAAAAAAAACUUUCUAUCAG